UACAGAGGUCUCAAGCGUUGUUCGGAUUCAUUGGGCGUAAAGGGUGCGUAGGCGGCGCGGUAAGUCGGGUGUGAAAUCUCGGAGCUUAACUCCGAAACUGCAUUCGAUACUGCCGUGCUUGAGGACUGGAGAGGAGACUGGAAUUUACGGUGUAGCGGUGAAAUGCGUAGAUAUCGUAAGGAAGACCAGUGGCGAAGGCGGGUCUCUGGACAGUUCCUGACGCUGAGGCACGAAGGUCAGGGGAGCAAAACAGG
rnacentral:rRNA from 1 species